UAAGGUAUUAAUUAUUUUGUGUAAAACUGGCUAUCAAUAAAGCCAUUUAGAACCUAACCAAUUGAGCAUCUAGCACACAUAAUUAUUUUCAUUUGAAAAUUCUGCCGUGCGAAGUAAGGUAUACUAGUGGUUAAAACAUUUCUUUCCCUCCCCUUUUAAUUUAACCUCUCGCUCUGGAGACUGGAGACUUGUUUAGAACUUAUCGAAGUUUCCCAAAGCAAAACCACGCACCAGUUCCUAAUUCAGGUGCCAGAUCUGUGUGCAGCCUCGCUCAGCUUCUGACUAUGCCAGGCAACACUUUAUUAAUCAUGGAUGAAUUUCUGUGCAUGUGCCCUGGAGCGAUCACACACGAUGCAAUCCCAGUCAAAAAAGGAUGCCUUACCUGGUGGCAGACACGGCAGCUGCAGGAGCAGAAGCAGAGACGGCGGCAGCAGGAUGCUACAACCCCGGCUCGCACGGAAGUGUUCGCUGUAGAAUGCUUUGAAUGAAUCGAAGGACUGCACAGCUCUCAGAACACUCGUUAAAGGAUCUUAGGAGUGAGUGAAGAUCCGGGCUGGAAAAGUGAGAGCACCUGGCUUAGGUAGCGCCUGGAGCUGGUGUGUAAAUGCUCGAGGACUGUGGAAAAUCAGAGAACUAUCAGCUGGGAGGCAGAAGGCUUGGGUUCUAGUCCUCACUCCACCUACCUAAGUAGCUUGAUUCUUUUCUCUUGGGGAACAAGAAAAUCAAGUCCAUUUUACUUGAAAGUUGUCUUACUCUCUAAAUUUUGUCGGAACAAGAAUCAGCUGCUAAGUGAUGCUAUCUACCUUAUUCAAGCAAUUUCUUCUAGUUUAUUUACCUGUGUCUAUUGAACUUGAUCCAAAUUCUACAGGCAACUAAAAAGUGUUCAGACUAUAUAAAUUCGUCUCGUUUGUUUAAUUUUGGCGUAUUUAUUGUAAGAUUUUUUUAAUUAAUAUAAAUUUCUCUUAGUGAGGGAGUUUGUUAGCGAUUACUUGCAACUUUACAGAGUACUAUAAUGAUCAAAAAAAUCUCAUAAUGAAGAGUAACACUGUUGUAAACAAUAACAUUACUUCCUCUAAAUUCCAAAACCACCAAGCAUGCUUUAUCCAUGGUGAUCUUUCUUUAUAUUUCUGUUUGUUCACAACCUCUGGAGUUCCCCCAGGUGAAAUUUGAAACUGGCCCAGUGCACUUAGGGCAAGGAGAGACGGGAAAAGAGAGGUAGGCCACUCCAGAUUGGUGGGUGGCAGGUUUAAUGAGGAAAGGAACUUACCACCCACUCGACUGCUAGAAUCUUAAAAGUUUAUAUAGAGGCCUUAACGGAGUUCAAUCACAUACACAGUUCAAAUGGUCGUAAUAAGGUAUUACUCUCAAGGCUGCAUCCUUGAAGUGGCUCCCAGUAUGGAACAGUGACCAACUGUAU
rnacentral:lncRNA from 1 species